GAGGAGUUAGUUAAAUAAUAACACUGCCUUGUCAAGGCAAAAUUGCUAGUUAAACUCUUGCACCCCUCU
rnacentral:tRNA from 1 species